GACGAACGCUGGCGGCGUGCCUAAUACAUGCAAGUUGAGCGCUGAAGGUUGGUACUUGUACCAACUGGAUGAGCAGCGAACGGGUGAGUAACGCGUGGGGAAUCUGCCUUUGAGCGGGGGACAACAUUUGGAAACGAAUGCUAAUACCGCAUAAAAACUUUAAACACAAGUUUUAAGUUUGAAAGAUGCAAUUGCAUCACUCAAAGAUGAUCCCGCGUUGUAUUAGCUAGUUGGUGAGGUAAAGGCUCACCAAGGCGAUGAUACAUAGCCGACCUGAGAGGGUGAUCGGCCACAUUGGGACUGAGACACGGCCCAAACUCCUACGGGAGGCAGGAGUAGGGAAUCUUCGGCAAUGGACGAAAGUCUGACCGAGCAACGCCGCGUGAGUGAAGAAGGUUUUCGGAUCGUAAAACUCUGUUGGUAGAGAAGAACGUUGGUGAGAGUGGAAAGCUCAUCAAGUGACGGUAACUACCCAGAAAGGGACGGCUAACUACGUG
rnacentral:rRNA from 1 species